UGGGGAAUUUUGCGCAAUGGACGAAAGUCUGACGCAGCAACGCCGCGUGGGUGAUGAAGGUCUUCGGAUUGUAAAACCCUGUCGUCGAGGACGAAGGUGAGGGCGUUAAUAGCGCUUUUACUUGACGGUACUCGGAGAGGAAGCCCCGGCUAACUCUGUGCCAGCAGCCGCGGUAAUACAGAGGGGGCAAGCGUUAUUCGGAAUUAUUGGGCGUAAAGGGCGCGUAGGCGGUUUUUUAAGUCGGAUGUGCAAUCCCCGAGCUCAACUUGGGAACUGCAUCCGAGACUGGAAGGCUAGAGUACUGGAGAGGGUGGUAGAAUUCCACGUGUAGCGGUGAAAUGCGUAGAGAUGUGGAGGAAUACCAGUGGCGAAGGCGGCCACCUGGACAGUAACUGACGCUGAGGCGCGAAAGUGUGGGUAGCAAACAGG
rnacentral:rRNA from 1 species